CAAUAGCGUAUAUUAAAGUUGUUGCAGUUAAAAAGCUCGUAGUUGGAUUUCUGAUCGAGACAUCAGGUCGGGUCCGAGAGGAUCAUGUACUUUGAUUUUGUUUUGAUCAUCCUUGGGGAGAGCAUUUCUGGCAUUCAGUUGUCGGGAUUGGGAUCCUCAUCGUUUACUGGGAAAAAAUUAGAGUGUUCAAAGCAGGCCUCGGCCUCUGAAUACAUUAGCAUGGAAUAAUAAGAUAGGACUUUGGUGGUCUAUUUUGUUGGUUUGCACGCCAAAGUAAUGAUUAAUAGGGAUAGUUGGGGGUAUUCGUAUUCAAUUGUCAGAGGUGAAAUUCUUGGAUUUAUGGAAGACGAACUACUGCGAAAGCAUUUACCAAGGAUGUUUUCAUUAA
rnacentral:rRNA from 1 species